CCUACGGGAGGCUGCAGUGAGGAAUAUUGGUCAAUGGCCGGAAGGCUGAACCAGCCAAGCCGCGUGAAGGACGAAGGUGCCAAGCAUUGUAAACUUCUUUUGUCAAGGGACAACAUCAGGCUCGAGAGCCUGACCGAGUGUACUUUAAGAAAAAGCAUCGGCUAACUCCGUGCCAGCAGCCGCGGUAAUACGGAGGAUGCGAGCGUUAUCCGGAUUUAUUGGGUUUAAAGGGUGCGUAGGCGGGCUGUUAAGUCGGCGGUAAAAGCCCGGGGCUCAACCCCGGCGAGCCGGUGAAACUGGCGGUCUUGAGAGGGCGAGAGGUAGGCGGAAUGCGCAGUGUAGCGGUGAAAUGCUUAGAUAUUGCGCAGAACUCCGAUUGCGAAGGCAGCAUACCGGAGGCGAUCUGACGCUGAGGCACGAAAGCGUGGGUAUCGAACAGGAUUAGAUACCCGGGUAGUC
rnacentral:rRNA from 1 species